rnacentral:rRNA from 1 species
UACGAAGGGGGCUAGCGUUGCUCGGAAUUACUGGGCGUAAAGCGCACGUAGGCGGAUCCUUAAGUCGGUGGUGAGAUCCUGAAGCUCAACUUCAGAACUGCCUUCGAUACUGGGGACCUUGAGUUCGGGAGAGGUGAGUGGAACUGCGAGUGUAGAGGUGAAAUUCGUAGAUAUUCGCAAGAACACCAGUGGCGAAGGCGGCUCACUGGCCCGAUACUGACGCUGAGGUGCGAAAGCGUGGGGAGCAAACAGG